rnacentral:lncRNA from 1 species
UCCGCUCCGCUCCGCCCGCCCGCCACCGCUCCCCCGUGCACCGCUGCCCACCCUCGCCCCGCUGCCGCUCCUCACUGCCAGUGAGGGGCGAGCAGAGGGGGAAGGGGAGAGGCAGCAGAGGGGGAUUGUGCGGGAGAGGAAAUUAGGAGGGAGGGGAGGGGAUGACGGUGGCGAAGACAGGAGGAGGAGGGGAGCGACAGUGGAUCUCUAGUGAUGAGGAUAGAGGGAGGAGGAUAAGGAGAGGAAAAGAAGCCUAGGAGGAAGAUGAGGAUUGAGGAGAGGAUGAGGAUGAGGAUGAAGAGAUAAGUAGAGAGGAGGGCCUGGGAAGCGGAGAGUGCUACCUCGAGCCGCACGACACCUCC